AGUGAACGCUGGCGGUAGGCCUAACACAUGCAAGUCGAACGGCAGCACAGUAAGAGCUUGCUCUUACGGGUGGCGAGUGGCGGACGGGUGAGGAAUACAUCGGAAUCUACUUUUUCGUGGGGGAUAACGUAGGGAAACUUACGCUAAUACCGCAUACGACCUACGGGUGAAAGCAGGGGAUCUUCGGACCUUGCGCGAUUGAAUGAGCCGAUGUCGGAUUAGCUAGUUGGCGGGGUAAAGGCCCACCAAGGCGACGACCCGUAGCUGGUCUGUGAGGAUGAUCAGCCACACUGGAACUGAGACACGGUCCAGACUCCUACGAGAGGCAGCAGUGGGGAAUAUUGGACAAUGGGCGCAAGCCUGAUCCAGCCAUACCGCGUGGGUGAAGAAGGCCUUCGGGUUGUAAAGCCCUUUUGUUGGGAAAGAAAAGCAGCAGGUUAAUACCCCGCUGUUCUGACGGUACCCAAAGAAUAAGCACCGGCUAACUUCGUG
rnacentral:rRNA from 1 species